ACCGUGCAAAGGUAGCAUAAUCACUCGCCUUUUAAUUGGAGGCUAGUAUGAAUGGAUAAACGAAAGUUUCCCUGUCUCCUUUACGCCUAUAAAAAUUAACCUUUGAGUGAAGAUGCUCAAAUGAAAAUGAGUGACAAGAAGACCCUGUCGAGCUUUACCUCUCAGCGAGGCACCAGUAACCUCCACGAGAAACUGCAACCUAGCCCCAGGUUAUGUUGGGGCGACAAAGGGAUAAAACAAUCUCCCUAUAUAAAAGAAGACCUAUCAGUCCUUCUGCUGACCCUACCAAGAUCACAAGCACAAGCUACCGCAGGGAUAACAGGCUAAUUCUCCUCGAGAGCCCACAUUAACAGGAGAGUUUGGCACCU
rnacentral:rRNA from 1 species